rnacentral:snRNA from 1 species
ACCAUCCUUUCCUUGGGGCUCUGCUACUGUCCAGUGAACGUGUAGAGAGGGCAGGACUGCUAACACUCAUUAAAAGAAUCAAAACAAAA